rnacentral:ncRNA from 1 species
AGCCGAUAUAUGUUCCCUGAAGUGGUGGGAAUGUCUCUACCGCAGUACCCGAAAACCAACUGCGAAUAUCGAGC